UCCUGAUCUUUGAGCCAUGAUAAUGUUACUGGUUGGAUGUCAGGAGCAGGCCAUGUGGAUGAUUAAAAGAUGAAUAUCAUAUACAGCAUGGAUAUGUUGGACAAAAAGAUGAUUCACAUCCCAGACAGAAUGGAGCAGCACAUUUAUUAAAAGCCAGAAGCUAGAAGACGAGGAAAGAAGAGGUGGUUAAAGAAAGAUACAGUAACAGCAGUAAUAUCUAACAGGAAGGCUACAGGGGAAAAUACAGAAAUUCCAUAAAGAACAAACACUGUAACUCAAAACCAAAGCUUUGCUAGUCACUAGUGCCCGCUACAUCCUAACAGGUGCCGCAUGCAGCUGGAGAGCCUGGGGUGAGAACAUGAGCAGUCUAUAAUCAGAAAAUCCCUUUGGGAUAAAUUGACAAAAAUAUAAACCACUCCACAAAGGAGAAAUUGUAAAUGCAAAAGAAACAAUCAAUAAACAGAUAAUCUACAGAAUGGUAAAAAAUAUUUGUGAGCUAUGCAUUUGACCAAAGGCUAAUAUCCAGAAUCUACAAGGAAUUCAGACAACUCAACAAGGCAAAAACAACCCCAUUAAAAAGUGGGGGAAAGACAUGAAAAGACAUUUUUUCAAAAGAAGACAUACAAAUGGUCAAGAAAAAUAUAAGCAAAUUCUCAACAUCACUAAUCAUCAGAUAAAUGCAAAUUAAAACCACAAGAAUAUACCAUCUUACACCAGAGAAAAUGCCUAUUAUUAAAAAGUCUAAAAACAACAGAUGUUGGUGAGGAUGCAAGAAAAAGGGAACACAUAUACAUUGUUUUUGGAAAUGUAAAUUAGUUCAACCUUUCUGAACAACAGUACAGAGAUUUCUCAGAGAACUAAAAAAAGAACUACCAUUCAAUCUAGCAAUCUGACUACUGGGUAUCUACCCAAAGGGAAAUAAAUCAUUACAUCCAAAAGACACCUGCACUCCUGUGUUUAUCACAACACUAUUCACAAUAGCAAACAUAUGGAAUCAAACUAAGAGUCCAUUAACAGACGACUGCAUAAAGAAGAUGUGGCAUAUAUAUUCCUUGUAAUACUACGUGAAC
rnacentral:lncRNA from 1 species